rnacentral:rRNA from 1 species
GGGCGCACCAACGGCCCGUCCCGAUCGCCGCGUCGACGGGGCGGAGUGAGAGCGNACACGUUGGGACCCGAAAGAUGGUGAACUAUGCCUGGGCAGGACGAAGCCAGAGGAAACUCUGGUGGAGGUCCGCAGCGAUUCUGACGUGCAAAUCGAUCGUCAGACCUGGGUAUAGGGGCGAAAGACUAAUCGAACCAUCU